UCGUGAGUCGUUGAUGGCUUGAAGCUAUCGCGACGUGCUCCAUGGCGUUCCAGGAAGAAUGACGCGGAGUUUCACCAGAAAAAGGAA
rnacentral:ncRNA from 1 species